GCUGAGAUGGCAGAGAGUAUGCGUCAGGUUUAAGAGUUGAAGACGGGAGAUAGCUCCCUCUUAGCA
rnacentral:tRNA from 1 species